ACGGGAGGCAGCAGUGGGGAAUAUUGCACAAUGGGGGAAACCCUGAUGCAGCGACGCCGCGUGAGUGAAGAAGUAUUUCGGUAUGUAAAGCUCUAUCAGCAGGGAAGAAAAUGACGGUACCUGACUAAGAAGCCCCGGCUAACUACGUGCCAGCAGCCGCGGUAAUACGUAGGGGGCAAGCGUUAUCCGGAUUUACUGGGUGUAAAGGGAGCGUAGACGGUUAUGUAAGUCUGAUGUGAAAGGCAGGGGCUCAACUCCUGGACUGCAUUGGAAACUAUAUAACUGGAGUGCCGGAGAGGUAAGCGGAAUUCCUAGUGUAGCGGUGAAAUGCGUAGAUAUUAGGAGGAACACCAGUGGCGAAGGCGGCUUACUGGACUGUAACUGACGUUGAGGCUCGAAAGCGUGGGGAGCAAACAGGAUUAGAUACCCUGGUA
rnacentral:rRNA from 1 species